GAGUAGGACAGCCGAGGUCUGCACUGGGUACUUCAUCGUCUGGGCUGGCUCUAUCAAUCUGCCUCACAACCGUGAUGGAGGGGAAGCCCAGAAAAGUCACUUUGUCCUGUGCUCGCUAGUGAUUCCUAGAAACGCAUCAGCUUCCCCUGAGUCUCAUAGGUGAAGCGUGAUGUCUGCAACGCCCCCGCAGGGCACAGAUGUUCUGAGUGACAUCGGAAGUGAAUGCGCUGCUCUGCUGGGCUGUGGAAAGCUGCUCAUUUAGUUCUCCAUCCAGAUUCACCUCUGGAACUCCCAACCACACCCCACCAUUGGAAUGGAUGCCAACGGAGAGUGGGACCAGAAACACUGUCUUUCACCUUGAGUCCUAGGGUGCCAGCAAUGGGACUACCCAAGUCCCGUGCAGAGAAAUGACCAGACUCUGAGGACUGUGGUGUGGUGGCAAAUGUGUCCUUCCCAGGCUGAGUCAGUAAGAAAGCCAACGUGAAGCUCUGCCGUCACCGGACCACAAGACCUCCCGGGAGAUCCGCUCUCAUUUCUCUCCUUAAACCUCACUAACAUCUCCUCGAAGAGAAGAAGCUGGCUGCCACCCAUGGCAGGAGGCAAGAGCAUCUGAAGCUGACUCCAAGUACCCACCAAGGUUCCUUCCACAUCCCAGGAUGGGAGGGGCUGGGGAGUUAGGACAUCAAGCCCUGGCAGCACUCAGUCUUCUGCAGUUCGCAUCUGGCAGGGAUCUCACCAUCCUCUACCCAGCAUCACAAGGACGGAGAGAGCUCAGGGUCCUGGGGACUGGGAAUCAUUCUUGGGUUUGUUUGAAAUGUUUUCUAAACAAACAGUCUGGUCACUCCUAGUUUUCAUGUACAUCUCAACUCCGCUUCAACUUAAACUUUAUUUGUAUAAAACCC
rnacentral:lncRNA from 1 species